ensembl:snRNA U6 U6 spliceosomal RNA
GUGCUCACUUUGGCAGCACGUACACUAAAACUGGAACAAUGCAGAGGAGAUUAGCAUGCCCCCUGCGUAAGGAUGACACGCAAAUCUGUGAAGCUUUCCAUUUUUUU